rnacentral:rRNA from 1 species
GCGCAGCAGGCGCGAAUACUUUACAAUGUGCGAAAGCACGAUAAGGGAACUCUGAGUGCCUCCUAAGGAGGCUGUUCAGGUGUCUAAAAGCACCUGAAGGAAGGGCUGGGUAAGACCGGUGCCAGCCGCCGCGGUAACACCGGCAGCCCAAGUGGUAGCCACGUUUAUUGGGUCUAAAGCGUCCGUAGCCGGCUGGGUAAGUUCCUUGGGAAAUUUGGCUGCUUAACAGUCAAGCUUUCAGGGAAUACUGCCCGGCUUGGGACCGGGAGAGGUCAGAGGUACUCCAGGGGUAGGGGUGAAAUCCAUUAAUCCUUGGGGGACCACCGGUAGCGAAGGCGUCUGACCAGACCGGGUCCGACGGUGAGGGACGAAGGCUAGGGGCGCGAACCGGAUUAGAUACCCCCGUA